UACGAAGGAUCCAAGCGUUAUCCGGAUUUAUUGGGUUUAAAGGGUGCGUAGGCGGGCUAUUAAGUCAGUGGUGAAAGCCCCAAGCUUAACUUCGAAACUGCAUUCGAUACUGCCGUGCUAGAGGACUGGAGAGGAGACUGGAAUUUACGGUGUAGCGGUGAAAUGCGUAGAUAUCGUAAGGAAGACCAGUGGCGAAGGCGGGUCUCUGGACAGUUCCUGACGCUGAGGCACGAAGGUCAGGGGAGCAAACGGG
rnacentral:rRNA from 1 species